UACGUAGGCAGCAAGCGUUGUUCGGAGUUACUGGGCGUAAAGGGUGUGUAGGCGGUUCUUUAAGUUUGGUGUGAAAUCUCCCGGCUCAACCGGGAGGGUGCGCCGAAUACUGAGGGACUAGAGUGCGGGAGAGGAAAGUGGAAUUCCUGGUGUAGCGGUGAAAUGCGUAGAUAUCAGGAGGAACACCGGUGGUGUAGACGGCUCUCUGGACCGAGACUGACGCUGAGGCGCGAAAGCGUGGGGAGCAAACAGG
rnacentral:rRNA from 1 species